AAAGAAUAUUUUAUUCUAUAUUUUUAUUUGUUUUUUAAUUUAAUGUGAGUUUUAGCGUUAAAAAGGAUUUGUUUUAAAUAAACAAAGUAGGAUUUUUGGUGAGCAGUGAUUAAUUUUGUAAAUUUAAUAUUUUAAGAUGAAGAUAAUAAUUUUUAGUACUGACUAAAUUUGUGCCAGCAGCUGCGGUUAUACAAAUAGUGCAAUAAAAAUAGCUUAGAGUGAGUUAAAAUAUUAACAAGAAUAAGGGAAUUUUAAAGUUUAAAGUAAAAUUAUGAGGUGAAAUUUUUAUUUUUACAAAGUUUUAAAGAUGUUUUUAGAUUUGAGGCUUAGAAAUUUUAUUUUAAAACUAGGAUUAGAUACCCUAUUAUAAAAACGUAGUAUUAAAACUCUAGAUUAGUAGUAGAAAGAUUUUUUUUAAUCAGAUGUUCUUGAAAAUUAGAAAAAAUGGCGGUGUUUUAGUCUUUUCAGAGGAACCUGUCCUGUAAUUGAUGGUCCACGAUUUCCUUUACUUUUUUUUUGAGUUUAUAUAUCGCCGUGGUUGAAUAUUCUUUUGGGGAAUUAAUAUUCAAGAUUUUUAGCAAUAAAAAUUCAGGUCAAGAUGUAGUUUAUAAAAAAGAAGAGAUGGGUUACAUUAAUUAUAAUUUUGGAUAAGUUUUUUAAAAAAGCUUUGAAAAUGGAUUUGAAGGUAAUUUUAUUAAAUUAUUUAAAAUGAUUUUAGCUCUAAAAUGUGUACAUAUCGCCCGUCGCUUUCAUUAUAAAAUGAAAUAAGUCGUAACAUAGUAGAUGUACUGGAAAGUGUCUCUAGAAGCUA
rnacentral:ncRNA from 1 species